rnacentral:rRNA from 1 species
UGCGCAGGUGGGCUUGUAAGUCGGUGGUGAAAUACUGCCGCUUAACGGUAGAACUGCCAUUGAUACUGCAAGUCUUGAGUAUGGUUGAGGUAGGCGGAAUGUGUUGUGUAGCGGUGAAAUGCAUAGAUAUGACACAGAACUCCAAUUGCGAAGGCAGCUUACUAAGCCAUUACUGACGCUGAGGCACGAAAGCGUGGGGAGCGAACAGGAUUAGAUACCCUGGUAGUCC